GGUUAAAAAAUUAUGACAAUUUGGACUGGACAGCCUCCAUAAAUGGAAUUAUAGUAUUUUAUUCAUAUAUUCUCUUCAUUGUCUGUGCUCUUACUUGUUCCUCUUCGUCCUGCUAUUUCUAUAAGAGAUUGUUUGGACUCUCCUUUGAGUCAUACUACUAGUUUACUUCCUUUCCUAUUCCUCCCUCGCAUCGCAAUCAAAAGAAAAGAAAAAGAGAUCUGAUCCGAUCUGAAAAUGGGGGAGAACUGGGUGUUGAUGAGAACGGCACAAACGCCUACUAACAUAUCAGUGAUAAAGUAUCGGGGGAAGAGGGAUGAGUCCCUUAUUUUGCCCAUCAACGACAGCAUCAGUGUUACCUUUGAUCCUGCCCAUCUCUGCACCACCACUACCGUCGCUGUCAGCCCUGCUUUCCAACAAGAUCGCAUGUGGCUUAAUGGCAAGUUAGUAUAGGAAAUGUCCCUUUCUGGAGGAAGGUACCAGAACUGUUUAAGGGAAAUUCGAAGACGGGCGAGUGAAGUUGAGGAUAAAGAGAAGGGAAUAAAGAUAGAGAAGAAGUAUUGGAAGAAACUGCAUCUCCAUAUUGCCUCUUAUAACGAUUUUCCGAUAGCUGCCGGAUUGGCUUCCUCAGCUGCUGGUUUUGCUUGUCUUGGCACAAUACUUACGUAAAAACAUACAUACCCUUCACCUUCUCUUUCUUUUCCUUUUUUCUUCAACGUUCAAUACAAUUAAUGGGACUUCUAGUUUGAGUUCAUUGCAGUUUUAGCGCUUGCAAAGCUUAUGAAUGUCAAAGAAGAUGAGAGUCAACUUUCUGCUAUUGCUAGGUAUUGCCCUUUCAUUUUACAGAGAUGCUAGAAUUUUAGUUGUAAUUCAAGUGAGGUUUUAUUGAUUUUUUUUUUUCAUAUAGACAAGGUUCAAGCAGCACUUGUCGGAGUUUAUUUGGUGGAUUUGUUAAGUGGUUUAUGGGAAAAGUAAGUUAUGUGUUUAACAGUUCAUCUGUAUUGCCUUUCAUCUUCCAUCAAGAAGGGUAGUAUCCUUUUGAGUAACCUAUUUUAAUAUUUUCUUCUUCUUUAAUUUAUCUAGGAGGAGGAUGAGGAGGAUGGAAGUGAUAUAGUCUUGCGGUUCAACUAGUAGAUGAGAAACACUGGGAUGAUCUUUUCAUUGUUAUUGCCGUGGAGUGUAUUCUUUCCAACCCUCCCAAUUAGCAUUCUUUCAAGUAUGGUUUACGGAUUGCUACUCUGGAGUGAGAUCAUCCCAUCCACCCCCAAAGAACUUAAAAUAUGCUUACAAUUAGAUAUUGCAAAUAAUUUGGAAAUUGUGCCAAAACGCAUGUUAUAGAUGGAAGAAGCCAUAAAAAAUCGUGAUUUUGCAUAUUUUGCACAAUUGACUUGUGCUGAUAGUAACCAGUUCCACGCAGUCUGCUUGGAUACGUGUCCACCCAUAUUCUACAUGAAUGAUACAUCUCACAGGCAAGUCUUGUUUUACCUAUGCUUAUU